GAUGAACGCUGGCGGCGUGCCUAAUACAUGCAAGUCGAGCGAACAGACGAGGAGCUUGCUCCUCUGACGUUAGCGGCGGACGGGUGAGUAACACGUGGAUAACCUACCUAUAAGACUGGGAUAACUUCGGGAAACCGGAACUAAUACCGGAUAAUAUAUUGAACCGCAUGGUUCAAUAGUGAAAGACGGUUUUGCUGUCACUUAUAGAUGGACCCGCGCCGCAUUAGCUAGUUGGUAAGGUAACGGCUUACCAAGGCAACGAUGCGUAGCCGACCUGAGAGGGUGAUCGGCCACACUGGAACUGAGACACGGUCCAGACUCCUACGGGAGGCAGCAGUAGGGAAUCUUCCGCAAUGGGCGAAAGCCUGACGGAGCAACGCCGCGUGAGUGAUGAAGGUCUUCGGAUCGUAAAACUCUGUUAUUAGGGAAGAACAAAUGUGUAAGUAACUAUGCACGUCUUGACGGUACCUAAUCAGAAAGCCACGGCUAACUACGU
rnacentral:rRNA from 1 species